UUAUAUCACCCAGAUACCCUGAACAAGCUGGAUCCCGUCUGAUCUCAGAAGCUAAGCAGGGUCAGGCCUGGUUAGUACUUGGAUGGGAGACCACCUAUGAAGACCAGGUGCUGUAGGCG
rnacentral:rRNA from 1 species